UGAAUACGAGACGCUAAGGCGUCGAAGUAGUGUAUAUCAUACUUCCAAGAAAAGCUUGCAAUGUCAUAGAUAAAAAACGCCUGUACCAUAACCGACACAGGUGGGUAGGUAGAGUAUACUAAGGGGCGCGAGAUAACUCUCUCUAAGGAACUCGGCAAAAUAACUCCGUAACUUCGGGAGAAGGAGUGCCUUAUUCGUAAGGUUGCAAUAACAAGAUCCAAGCAACUGUUUAUCAAAAACACAGGUCUCCGCUAAGUCGCAAGACGAUGUAUGGGGGCUGACGCCUGCCCAGUGCCAGAAGGUUAAAGAAGUUGGUUAGCAAUUGCGAAGCUGAUAACUGAAGCCCUGGUGAACGGCGGCCGUAACUAUAACGGUCCUAAGGUAGCGAAAUUCCUUGUCGGGUAAGUUCCGACCCGCACGAAAGGCGUAAUGAUUUGGAUACUGUCUCGGAGAGGGGCUCGGUGAAAUAGACUUGUCUGUGAAGAUGCGGACUACCUGCACCAGGACAGAAAGACCCUAUGAAGCUUUACUGUAACUUGAAAUUGAAAUUGGACUUUAUUCGCGCAGUAUAGGUGGGAGGCGUUGAUUAUAAUCUUGCGGGAUUAUUGGAGCCAUCAGUGAGAUACCACUCUUGUAAUGUUAGAUUUCUAACUUUGAAUCAUUAUCUGGUCAAAGAACAGUUUCAGGCGGGCAGUUUGACUGGGGCGGUCGCCUCCUAAACGGUAACGGAGGCGUACAAAGGUUUCCUCUGAACGGUUAGAAAUCGUAUCUAGAGUGUAAAGGCAUAAGGAAGCUUGACUGUGAGACCUACAAGUCGAGCAGGGACGAAAGUCGGUCUUAGUGAUCUGACGGUACUGAGUGGAAAGGCCGUCACUCAACGGAUAAAAGUUACUCUAGGAUAACAGGCUGAUCUCCCCCAAGAGUUCACAUCGACGGGGAGGUUUGGCACCUCGAUGUCGGCUCAUCGCAUCCUGGGGCGGUAGUACGUCCCAAGGGUUGGGCUGUUCGCCCAUGAAAGCGGUACGCGAGCUGGGUUCAGAACGUCGUGAGACAGUUCGGUCCAUAUCCGGUGUAGGCGUUAGAAUAUUGAGAGGAGCCUUCUUUAGUACGAGAGGACCGAGAAGGACAUACCUCUGGUGUACCAGUUAUCGUGCCAACGGUAAACGCUGGGUAGCUAUGUAUGGAGUGGAUAACCGCUGAAAGCAUCUAAGUGGGAAGCCCACCUCAAGAUAAG
rnacentral:rRNA from 1 species